UAUUUUGUUGUGAGUUUUAGAAAAAAAAAUUAACUUCAAAAAAUAUAUUAUUAUUUUACCCUUCACAAACAAAGACUUUUAAUUCCUUCCCCAAAAUUUUCCUCCACUUUAUUUUUUUUUUUCUUUCUUUUUUAGAAAACUUACAAACACAUUGUUAAUUAUUGAAGAAUCCAAAUUGAGGAGUUAAAUAUUCUCUAAUAAUUGCAUAGAUAUCGUUGCCUAACCCUAAAUUGCACUUGUUCGUGUGACCAAACAGAUCUUCACAUCGGUCUAGACCGUCGAGCGUUCGUAUAAAUAUGAUUCCGAUUGCAUUGGCUGAUAGUCCGCCUCCAUGACAGCAUCAGUCCACACUUCUCCUUUCUAACAAACACACGCGAAGGUAACGAGCUAGGGUUUCAUUGAUUUAGCAAUUAGUUCAUCGACAAAUUUAUUUUCAAUCCAUUUUUUUUUAAUAAAAAGUAUGAAAACUUGAAACUUCUUUGAAUGCCUCUACCUGUUAUUGGUUUGCUUUAAAUUGUUGAUCUCAUCAAUGAAUUGAAAUUAAAAACUUUUUGUUGUUGCAAUUUCCUGUUUUGUUGAUUUUAAGUAUAUUAUAUGAAAUUCUCUGAACAGUAAAUUUGUACUCAGGUUAGGACUUUCUUCUCUGAAAAAGUUUAAAAUUUUAUAUUUCAUUAUAGAUUUUUAUACCCAAUGGGAGCUUAUAUUGCAUAUACACGGGUUUAAGUAUGAGCUAAUCUUCGAAUUAAGGUAAUCCAGUCUUAAUACACAAAACAUAUACGUGUAUAUUGUGUUACUGUUUGUGCAUACAUAAAUACCCAUGUAUGAUGUGUAUAUGCAUGUGAAGUCAAUCAUUAAGUCCCUAUAUAUAUAUAUAUAUAUAUAUAUAUAUAUAUAUUGAAGUAGUGGGCUGAUCUUUAUUGAUGAGUAACCAAUUCUGAGGGGCAUUCCUAUUUUUUCCCCACAUAACAUUAUUUUCUCUAUGAAGUGGAUUCUUUGGUGGUCAAUUUUUAGCAUAAAUUGUUGCUUUGUUGUUGUUCAUUUAUAGAUCCCUGUUUUUUUUAGAGUUGUGUACUAUAUAUCCCUGUGAAGAUCUCAAAUCAAAAGUAGAUUUAAAAGUAGUGGACUGAUUUACUUUGCUGAAUAAUUAAUUCUGAGGGAUCUUUGUGUAUUUAACUUGCUAUUUUUUUUACCUCUUGCAAUUUGCAAUUUUAAUUUUUCCAUUGUCACCUGUUCUUGGUCAAGAGUAGUUUGUUGCUCAAGAACCAGGUAUGUUGGCAAAAUAUUUGUUAAUAUGCAUAAUAUGCCGGUGCUUGUUUUGAUUUGGAUUUUUAAAUGAAAUAACUUCUCCUUGGACUGUAUUUUCAGCCUCUGAAUUUCUCUUUUGUUUUGGUUUUCUUUCCUCUCUUUUUUUCCGUUUCUUCUNNNNNNNNNNNNNNNNNNNNNNNNNNNNNNNNNNNNNNNNNNNNNNNNNNNNNNNNNNNNNNNNNNNNNNNNNNNNNNNNNNNNNNNNNNNNNNNNNNNNUCUUGCAGGCAGGCUGUAUUCUGUAUCACAUUCCCAUGAUGAGUUAAUUUUAAAAGUAGUGGACUGAUUUCCAUUGAUGAAUAGUCAGCUCUGAGGAUGUGUACUUGUUAUAUAACUAACACUAUUAGUUAAAACUACAUUUUCUCUGUUGAAACUGGAAUUGACGCCUAUGUGGAUUCUUGAUGUUCAUGGUGCAAAUUUUCUAAUUUUGUGCUUGAAGAAAUGCUUUCUCGUUUGUUUUUAAGUUGCUUAUGACCUGCUGAAUAUAUCUUUUGAAACCUUGUAAUAAUCAAUAUGGUUCUAAGACGGCUCAUUCGUAAUGUUUGUAAGUUUUGGUUGAAAGAUUAGAUUGCAUGUUGGUAUAUUGUUUUGCAUCCCUAUGAUGACUAUUUUCCACGUUAAAAGUAAACUGACUUUAUUAUGAUGGAUAAUUUUUUCUGAGGAUGUGCUUGAUAUUUUUUAGGUCUUUUCAAAUUGUAUGUAGGAUGUUGUGACUGUUCAAGUUCUGAGCCACUAAGGAUUGAGGAAAAAUUAUAUUUCUAUUUAUAUUUGUUCCACCCAGGUGAGUAAGUGUGUCACUACUCAAUUGUUAUUGGAAGCAUCUAAAAAUACAGGCUAGACAGUGCUGCAUUUUAAUAGUAGAGAAUUGAAAUUUAAGUCCUUAUUUGAAGUAUUUUCUAACCUGAUGAUAUAUAGCAGUAUUUUUGAUUAAGUUUGUUGUUGCGUGAGCCAAUUGUUAAAUUCUCUCUCUCAUAAGUCUUUUAAUUUGAUCUUUUACAAAAUCUCCUGUAAGCCAAUCAAUCACAAUUCAGAAGUUGUUUAACUGCCGAGUACUCUGUCGUGUAAGCAAAAUUGUUUUAAAGGGAUCUAUUGUUACUACAAGUUACAUAUGACAUUAUUGAAGUACCUUUGGCAUAACAAAAAAUGUGAAUUUUAAUUUUUGUGAAUUUUGAACUCCAUUAAUAUUGUGAAUUUUGGAAAUUGAAAGCAUGAGUUGUGACAUUCUUUGCAAGAGGGACAUAAAUUUUAGUAAGAAACGAGUAGUGUCUUGGGCAUAGGUGGUCUUUGGUGACAUUUUAGUAAGAGAGUAGCUGCUAGUGUUUUCUUGUUGAUACUCACCUUAUGUAGAACUGAAUCAUUACUUCAUGAAAUUGAUAUAUUUAUUUGGGAAUGAAUAGUAGUUAUAUAUAUAUAUAUAUAUAUGUAAAUCUUAUUUGUGUAUAAAACUGGCAGUUUUACUUGGAAUAGUGAGUUUCUACGAAGGGAGGUGAUAUAUGUGCUUUCAUGCCUUUGCCUUUUACUAUUUGUGCUCCAGCUCAAAGAAAAUAGAGUAAAUUUUGUUAAUCAGUGGAAUACAAUGGGUAAGAUUUGUAGUACAUGCGGCUACUAAUCCUCUAGCAAAAAAAGUGUCAUGCUAAAUCAUUUCCGCUAAGGUGCAUGAAAAAGUUUUUCAUUUUUUAUUUUACUUUAAACACUUGUGUUAGUAUACUGAGAAUGUAAUUUCUAAUGCUUGUAAUUCUUGAAUGGAACAUCGAAUUGUAGUGUUGUUCGUCACUGGCUAUGGGGAACUUCUGCCUAGUAAACAAGCGAAUUGUAGUGUUGUUCGUCACUGGCUAUGGGGAACUUCUGCCUAGUAAACAAGCAAAUACGAUGGACAGAUUAUUUACAAGGGAUAUUGAAUGAUGUUUUGGUAGAUGUAUGCUACAAGUUGAAUAUAAUUUUGACCAACAAUUUCUAUACUCUGUAAAAAGUAAUAUUUUUCUGGUUAUUUCAAAAUAGGUCACACACAACAUUAGAACUCACCCACAAUGCCAGAGCUUGGGCGUGGCCGGACUUUGUUGAGUGUUUUGAAGUCAUCUAAGAUUUGGGGAUUAAUGAAUUUGUCUUGUGGCAUUUUUGUACAUUAAGUUUAUAUGAUGAUGAAUAAAAUGAGAUUGAAAAAGGAGUCGGUAGAUUUUGAAUUUCAAUAGCAGCUGUCCAUUCAAAUCUGAAUUGGCAUUUUCAUUUCUUCUCUUUCCGUCCGAAUUAACGUUUACAACUGGUUAAAAAUUAGAGGUGUUUUUAAGAAUACUUUUAUGUUUGGGCAAAGUGAAAAUUCGUUUUUCUUCAUAAUUCAGUUAAUGUUUGACUAACUUUAUUCCUAAUAUCAAACAGCUAUACCCAAG
rnacentral:lncRNA from 1 species